AGUUAAGAAUUGAAUUUGUUUAAUUUGUUUCUGUUUCGUCAGAUUCACAGGCAUUCAGCAGAAAGACUCCAGGACUUGUGUUGCUUGAACAGAGGCACCUUUAUUAAAGUAGGGCAGCACCUGGGAGCCCUGGACUUCCUCCUUCCUGUGGAGUACACCAGCAUGCUGAAGGUCCUGCACAAGCCCAUCAGAGCAGUACGGAGGAGAUCAGGCAGAUCAUACGAGAAGACCUGGGAAAUAAGUUUCUCCUGCAGGUUGUCCUCUGGUUGUUUCCAGACUUUGCCUUUAUGUGGCUGGUGGAAGAAGCCAAGAAUAACAUGCCUCUAGAGCUGGACUCCUCAAUGAGGGACAAAACUUUGAGAAAAUAGCAUACAUGUUCAAGCAGUUCAAGUUUCUGAAGAUCCUGGAGAUUCACUGGGAUCUUUCCACCAAGCGUAUUCUAACCAUGGACUAUGCAGAGGGCGGUCAGGUCAACGACCGAGAGUACAUGAGGAGAAAUGGCAUCAAUGUC